UUUGACCCCUUUUUUCUUCAUCAUGUUAUAAAUAUCUGAUCAAUGUGGCUACAGUGCUACGAUCAAAAUUCCGAUCAUCCUUAAGAUGAUUUAAAAGCAAAAAAAAAAAAAAAAAACGAGGGG